rnacentral:lncRNA from 1 species
UUCUGUUCUAGGCUUGAAAAAAGGCUCUACUUUAUUUCUCCACUGUAAUAGGAGUCUUGAGAAGGCCAAAUUAGAGGUGCAGAAAAAGGGUGAAAUAAGAGCACUAGAAACCGUAAUAACCGUAAUAACACCGCAAUACAACCCGGCGAACUUUAUUUCCUUCCACGUAUUUCCCGAGUGAUACAUAUUCACGAGAAAGAGACAAACUUGGAGGAGGAGGUUUUUACUGCUGCACGGCCAGAAAAAAACAUAGUGGGCAAAACCUUCCUGAGCUUUUUUCGUUAUUUAUCAACCAUUAAUUGAUUUUUCACUUGUCAAGAGCAAAACUUAUUGGGGAAAAAUUAGAAAAUGAAUGGUCUUAAGUUCUUACUGGUUUUCAAAGUAUCCACAUAAGGGGCUGAGGAUAAUUCUGGGACUCGAAAGUCCUAGACUGCUUUGUAAUCUUUUCACACAACCCAAAGCGAAACAUGGGCUACACUUAAAAAAAGAGUUACUAAGAAUUGGUGGCUUGGUGGGCUCAAGGGGAUGAGGUGAUCUCAGCUCACCAUUGGCUGGGAAGAGGAUCUCUCGACUUUCCACCUCUUUGGAUUAAAUUUUUAGCUGGAGUUUAAGAGGAGCUGUGCACAUCUAUUUCCAGGUAACAGAGUUCCCUAACUACCCUCGAUGCCACUGUCCAUUGGUAAGGCUAAAUUGUUGAGAGGGCUAGGGCGGGGGCGGAGAGAAAGCCAGGGGGCUUUUGCCUGCUUUAAAAUUAGACCAAUGAGGGCAAGAAAGAGGCAGGUUCGGGUGCUUGGUAAACGAAAAGCAAACUUCUUUAUUGUACACAGUACAGAAUAUAACGCAGCUUGGCAGGAUGCAUACGGC